AGCAGUGUGGCCUAGUGGAAAGAGCACAGGUUUGGUGGCCACAGGACCUGGGUUCUAAUCCUAGCACUGCCC
rnacentral:tRNA from 1 species